CACACGGUAGCUUAAAAGUACAAAUGAC
rnacentral:piRNA from 1 species